rnacentral:rRNA from 1 species
UUGACGGGGAGCACUACGAACGGGUGGAGCCUGCGGUUUAAUUGGACUCAACGCCGGAAAACUCACCGGGGCGACAGCAAUAUGUAGGUCAAGCUAAAGACUUUACCAGAAUCGCUGAGAGGAGGUGCAUGGCCGUCGUCAGUUCGUACUGUGAAGCAUCCUGUUAAGUCAGGCAACGAGCGAGACCCGUGCCCACUGUUGCCAGCAUGUCCUUCGGGAUGAUGGGUACUCUGUGGGACCGCCGAUGCUAAAUCGGAGGAAGGUGCGGGCUACGGUAGGUCAGUAUGCCCCGAAUCUCCCGGGCUACACGCGGGCUACAAUGACUGGGACAAUGGGCUCCUACCCCGAAAGGGGAUGGUAAUCUCAUAAACCCAGCCUUAGUUCGGAUCGAGGGCUGUAACCCGCCCUCGUGAAGCUGGAAUCCGUAGUAAUCGCGGAUCAGCCAUGCCGCGGUGAAUACGUUCCCGGGCCUU